CCGCCCUCGGGACGGGGCGGGGGAGCGCGGCCGGGCGGGCCGAGGAGGACGGGCGGAGGGACCGUGACGCGCCGUCGGGGCGGGGCGGGGGCCGUACAAACGCGCUGGCGGCGGGCGCCGGGCGCCGCUUCCAGGCGGGUGAGGCGGGCGGCAGCUGGUGCUCGCUCCGCAGCCGCUGCUUCUACCACCGGGAGCGCUUCCCACGGCUGCGGUAUCCGCGGGCGCUCAUGGCACAGCACGGAGGGUGCUGCCCUACGGCUCCGCGCCCUGGCGAAAGGUUUCUGUUUGAGAAAUACGCAUCCACUCAGCAAAACAAAAACAACUUUUAAAGGUUGUUCUGGGUAGAAUUCGCUCCAUGCCCCAUUACCUGCUUGAGUGA
rnacentral:lncRNA from 1 species